rnacentral:misc_RNA from 1 species
GGCCGCAGGGCGCCAGUGCGACGCCGAACGUCGUUCGGUCUGGGCGCAUUCAGCGCCAACUCUGGGCAAAAAGGGGUCGGGGACCCCGUGCCCCCAACGCGUUCCGCAUCCCCGAGGUCGGGCGAGCGUUCGAGGGCCGCAAAGACCGCGUGCGCGGUAAGAGCGGAACACGAACGUCGCCUCGAUGUUCGUCCUGAGCCGCGUCGCAAGAACGAGCAGCACCUUGGCGAACGAUACGAACAUGGACAAUCGAAUUCCAUCGACGUAGGUACGAAACACAGGAAACCGGACAAGACGGGCGAGGUCGACGUCGCUCUCGCACCAACGAUUGAAGAGGAAGGCAAG